rnacentral:rRNA from 1 species
GACGAACGCUGGCGGCGUGCUUAACACAUGCAAGUCGAACGGCAAGGCCCUGCUUUUGUUGGGUGCUCGAGUGGCGAACGGGUGUGUAACACGUGAGUAACCUGCCCUUGACUUUGGGAUAACUUCAGGAAACUGGGGCUAAUACCGGUUAUGAGCUCCUGCUGCAUGGUGGGGGUUGGAACGUUUCGGCGGUUGGGGAUGGACUCGCGGCUUAUCAGCUUGUUGGUGGGGUAGUGGCUUACCAAGGCUUUGACGGGUAGCCGGCCUGAGAGGGUGACCGGCGACAUGGGGACUGAGAUACGGACCAGACUCCUACGGGAGGCAGCAGUGGGGAAUAUUGCACAAUGGGCGGAAGCCUGAUGCAGCAACGCCGCGUGCGGGAUGACGGCCUGCGGGUUGUAAACCGCUUUCGCCUGUGACGAAGCGUGAGUGACGGUAAUGGGUAAAGAAGCACCGGCUAACUACGUG